GACCCCGUAGCUCAGCGGUAGAGCGUGAGAUUCCAGUGAGAGUAUCCUCAAGGUCAUCCGUUCAAUCCGGGUCGGGGUCA
rnacentral:tRNA from 1 species